UGGGGAAUAUUGCACAAUGGGGGAAACCCUGAUGCAGCGACGCCGCGUGAAGGAAGAAGUAUUUCGGUAUGUAAACUUCUAUCAGCAGGGAAGAAGAUGACGGUACCUGACUAAGAAGCCCCGGCUAACUACGUGCCAGCAGCCGCGGUAAUACGUAGGGGGCAAGCGUUAUCCGGAUUUACUGGGUGUAAAGGGAGCGUAGACGGAGCAGCAAGUCUGAUGUGAAAGACCGGGGCUUAACCCCGGGCCUGCAUUGGAAACUGUUGAUCUUGAGUGCCGGAGGGGUAAGCGGAAUUCCUGGUGUAGCGGUGAAAUGCGUAGAUAUCAGGAGGAACACCGGUGGCGAAGGCGGCUUACUGGACGGCAACUGACGUUGAGGCUCGAAAGCGUGGGGAGCAAACA
rnacentral:rRNA from 1 species